AUGAAGCGCUCGACAGAGAACCGCGGGAUCAAGGGCUCCCACGGAGCUAACGCCGUCGACCCGACCUCGCUGCUCACGGAAGAUUGCGACGUGCUCCUCCCGGCAGCUCUGGGAGGAGUGAUAAACAAGGACAAUGCUGAUGCCAUCAAAGCAGAGUACAUCAUAGAGGCUUCUAACCACCCAAUAGACCCCGAGGCCGACGAGAUCCUGGCAAAGAAGGGCGUGCUGAUCCUACCGGACAUCCUGGCCAACUCCGGCGGAGUGGUGAGCUACUCCGAGUGGGUGCAGAACAUCCAGGGGUUCAUGUGGGACGAGGAGAAGGUGAAUCGGGAGCUCAAGACGUACAUGACCCGUGCCUCA
rnacentral:rRNA from 1 species